CCACCUACGGGAGGCAGCAGUAGGGAAUCUUCCACAAUGGGCGCAAGCCUGACCCAGCAACGCCGCGUGAAGGAAGAAGGCUUUCGGGUUGUAAACUUCUUUUCUUAGGGACGAAGAAAGUGACGGUACCUAAGGAAUAAGCCACGGCUAACUACGUGCCAGCAGCCGCGGUAAUACGUAGGUGGCAAGCGUUAUCCGGAUUUACUGGGUGUAAAGGGCGUGUAGGCGGGACUGCAAGUCAGAUGUGAAAACCAUGGGCUCAACCUGUGGCCUGCAUUUGAAACUGUAGUUCUUGAGUACUGGAG
rnacentral:rRNA from 1 species